UUUUGUUCCAGGGGGAGCUGGAUGAGUCCGGCUGAGAGGAAGCCCCACCGAUGCUUCGACCCUCUGAACCUGAUCUGGGUAAUGCCAGCGUAGGGAGCUUGUGGGAUCUAUUAAA
rnacentral:ncRNA from 2 species